rnacentral:lncRNA from 1 species
GUUAACCGCACUUCCGCUGGCUGGGUAUCCGCGGCAAGUUCAGAUCAUUAGUUGGCUGGAGUUAAUUAACCACCAGACAAUUAGCUUAUCUUUUUCCCGAUCCUAAGACCAGCUGGAUUGCAUACAAUGAGUACAUCCAGAUAGUUAAGACCCUUGGAAUCAAGAUUAAGAGAACCAUCAAUUAAGGAGGCAGUGCGCACCUCUCCAGGGAAAUUUACUCCAGUGCUUCAUCCUACCUCAUUGGACACAGCCGACCGUGUUGGUCCUGGUUCCCUCUUCAAAUGCUGGCUCCUGGAAAUAGCAUCAAAGCAAGCAGCUGAUAAGACAAAACUGGGUUGUUGCUUAUGCUAAGGGGAAGCACCACCUUGAAAGAGUCAUUGUAGAGUGGAGGUCGGGAGGGCAAAGUUGAGAUACUGAGGUUUUGGGGUUUGGUUUAAGGCAGGUCCUUUGAUGUCGGACUUAAUCAGGGCUGGGUAAGGAUCAUGUUAUAAUAGUUUAGGAUUGUUGGUCACAGUUUUGUAUUGGUGGUCACAGUGAAGUGAGGGCUUCAAAGACUCUUGGAGCUUUCUUUGAUGCUCCCUGUUGAAGAGCUGUGUGGUUUUAUUAAUGGAUUUUCC